CUCCCCAGCCGAACACCUCAAGGACCAGGAGUGCGUCUCAUUCACCUCCACGUUGCCAGAGGACCUUACCUAGCAGAACCAAGAAGGAGCCAUGGCCAGAGGUGCCGCCCCGACCAACGAGCAUUGCCUGGAAACAUUCCUGCUGCCACAGCCUGACCUUUGCGUGAAUCUCAGGAACAGAGGCCCCUUGCGCCCACUGGGGCGGCCCUGCCAGCUGAACAUCUAAGUUGUUUCCAAGCCUGACCCACUUGACACUUCACUUCCUCCUUUAAUGAUCUCAUCUAUAAAAAUGAUAUGCCACAGAUGACUUCCAAGUUGCCACAGGCUGGCUGCUCCAAAUGCAGACUUCACCCCCAGGAAGUUCACCGUUCCGUCUCAGGGAGCCAUGAUUUGUACUAUUCUCCUGUGAUCCAGACCACAGAGCCUGCCUGACGUGGAUCCGGACUUGCUGUUCCUGGGAACAAGAAAGAAAGCGUGUUUCGAAAGCUCAGAAUCAGCUCUCCGGCCCGGUGGAAACACUGCCAUAUGCUUAAUUGUGCUCCAAUUACACAGGAUGCUCCAGAAUCGCUGCUCUGGGGUGGAGAGACGCUAAUGGCCAUCAUUACAUUUGGACAGCCCUGUUCGGCUUUCUGUGAUCUUUGCAACUACUGUGUAGUUGGUUCACUGAGAGCUGCUGGCCUGUUUUAACACGGGAGAGAUGGUGGAGUUCCUCAUUUGCAAACGCUGACUGAGAACCUAGGGCGGACCAAGCCUGGUUUUAGGCACUGAGGACAAUGCAAAGUAGGUUCUCACAGAACUUCUAGUCCAGUGGGGAGAUAAGCAACACACACACACACACACACACA